rnacentral:misc_RNA from 2 species
UUGAAUAAACUUGGUUGGGUUGUUGCUGGCUCUCAGGAGCAUGUGCACGCUCAUUCCAUUUUUACCCACCUGUGCACACACUGUAGGCUUGAAUGAACUUUUCGAGGAAACUCGGUUUGAGAACUGCUAGAAGCUGUUCUUGCAUUCCAGGUCUAUGUUUUAAACAUAUACUCUAUAACAAGUUCCAGAAUGUUAAUUAUAGGCCUUCUGUGCCUUUAAACCUAAUACAACUUUCAACAACGGAUCUCUUGGCUCUCGCAUCGAUGA